AUCGUGCAUGAUACGAGCCCAUAUGGUUCUAGCAUCCAAGGGGGAGUGUUAUGAACAAUGUGGAUUGCUAGUAACCAAAUGGCCAAACCGUGGCCCAUGGAGAGAGAGAGAGUCGGCGGCCCAAAGGGAGAGAGAGUGGCCGACUUUAGUCUUAGGAUAGUUUCCAUUUAUCUCUUCAUGUUUAUCUUUAAGAAGUUUUCCUUUUUCCUUUAUGAUAAUGAUUUGUACACUUUCCUUUUAUCUAUUCCUUGUAACCCCUAUAUAAGGGAACACUUUGAUUGAGUAAUACACAGAGAGAAAAACACACGAUUUCCCCUAUUGUUCACAGCAAUAGUCACAUUCUUCCCCACGACCAUUAGCCCUUUACAUACAUACAAGUAUUGUGUUUGAUUGGAUGGUAAAGAAUAAAAAAAGAAGGUAAAAUAUGAUUGGUGGAUAAAGAUGUGGCAAGGAUUGACUCAAACUAAUCUUAACCGUUGAUUGUAUCAUCCAUCUAAUGGACAUAAAUCAUAUGUGGCAAGGAUUGACUCAAACUAAUCUUAACCGUUGAUCGUUAUCCCUCUCUGCAACAGUCGAUGGCUUCACCUCGCUCACCGGGUUUCACCUCCUCACCACCACCACUGAACUGAGAAAAACAGCGAUAAAACAUGAAGGAUAAGUGGUAGUGUGACGGAGCAGACAGUAAAGAGGAGGACGGCGGCAGAGAGGAACCACCACCACCUUGAAAAAGUCUUAUGUGGAUGGUUUCUUCUGAAACAGCGGCGGAGAGAGGAGGCGUGAAGAACUCGAGGUGGCGAUGGAGUUAUGUAAAGAUUUAAGAAGAGGAAGAGAGAGAAGAAGAAGAAGAAGAAGAGGAGGAGAUGUGAACGGAGUGGAAGGAGACGAGGCACAGACAUAACCGGACUGGAAAGAGGCGACGAGGAGAUGUGACCGGAGUUGAAGGAGACGAAGCAGACACCUGACCGGAGUGGAACGAGACGAGGCGGAGACCUGGCCAAAGUUACCCCGGUGGUGGUUCGCCGCUUCGCCGCUGUCAUCAAAGUCACGCCGGUGGUGGUUUUGUAUAAUAUUUGUAUAUACACAUGUAUUUAGAUUUGUAUUUGUACGUAUAUUUUUAGUUUAAUAAAAUUUAUAUUUAAAAUGA